rnacentral:lncRNA from 14 species
CACCCAAGGAAGGGAUGGCGAUAAUGUCAUUUUAAACUGGGUGACUCAUUAUUAGGUCAGAAAAUAUUUUGUUAAGAAUAGCUUAAGAAAACAUUGCUGGCCUUCAAAGUCCUUUCUCUUCCCUGCAGGUGUCUUUGGCAAGCACUGUGAACUGAACAGUUAUGGAUUUGAGGAACUGUCAUACAUGGAGUUUCCUAGCCUGGACCCCAACAACAACUAUAUUUAUGUCAAGUUUGCUACUAUCAAAAGUCAUGCUUUAUUGCUUUAUAACUACGACAACCAGACAGGAGAGCGGGCAGAGUUCCUGGCCUUGGAAAUUGCUGAAGAAAGGCUCAGAUUCUCAUAUAAUCUUGGCAGUGGGACAUACAAACUGACCACCAUGAAGAAGGUGUCAGAUGGACAAUUCCACACAGUGAUUGCUCGGCGCGCAGGAAUGGCAGCCUCGUUAACUGUGGACUCCUGCUCGGAGAAUCAAGAGCCAGGCUAUUGCACUGUCAGUAAUGUGGCUGUUUCAGAUGACUGGACUCUUGAUGUACAGCCAAACCGAGUCACUGUUGGAGGAAUCAGAUCACUAGAGCCAAUCCUUCAGAGGAAGGGGCAUGUGGAGAGCCACGAUUUUGUGGGCUGUAUAAUGGAGUUCGCUGUGAAUGGACGGCCCCUGGAGCCCAGCCAGGCUCUGGCAGCACAAGGCAUCCUUGAUCAGUGCCCUAGACUAGAAGGCACCUGUGCUCGAAACCCCUGCCAGCACGGUGGCACCUGUGUGGACUUCUGGUCAUGGCAGCAGUGUCAGUGCAUGGAGGGCCUGACUGGGAAGUACUGUGAAAAAUCUGUCACUCCAGACACUGCCUUGUCACUAGAAGGCAAAGGACGCCUGGACUACCACAUGAGCCAGAGCGAGAAGCGGGAAUACUUGCUGACGCAGAGCAUACGGGAAGCCACAUUGGAGCCUUUUGGUGUCAAUAGCCUGGAAGUAAAAUUCAGGACUCGGAGUGAGAAUGGCAUUUUGAUCCAUAUCCAGGAAAGCAGCAAUUAUACCACAGUGAAGAUUAAGAACGGCAAAGUGCACUUUACAUCAGAUGCAGGUGUUGCUGGGAAAGUGGAGCGGAUCAUCCCGGAAGCAUACGUUGCGGAUGGCCAUUGGCAUACCUUCCGGAUCUCAAAGAAUGGAAGCUCCACUGUGCUGUCUGUAGACCGGACGCACAGCAGAGACGUUGUCCACCCCACGCAGGACUUUGGUGGUAUCGAGGUGCUUUCCAUGUCCCUGGGAGGAAUCCCUCCCAACCAAGCCCAUCGGGACACGCAGACGGGUUUUAACGGCUGCAUCGCCUCAGUGCUCUAUGGCGGAGAGAGCCUUCCCUUCAGUGGGAAACACAGCUUAGCGUCCAUCUCCAAAACCGACCCUUCAGUGAAGAUUGGCUGUCGGGGUCCCAACAUCUGUGCUAGCAACCCCUGCUGGGGCGACCUUCUGUGUAUCAACCAGUGGUAUGCCUACAAAUGCGUCCCUCCUGGUGACUGUGCAUCCCACCCUUGCCAGAAUGGAGGUAGCUGUGAGCCAGGUCUGCUCUCUGGCUACACGUGCAGCUGUCCAGAGUCACACACUGGGAGGACCUGUGAGACAGUGGUGGCUUGCCUCGGUGUUCUCUGUCCUCAGGGCAAGGUUUGCAAGGCUGGAAGUCCUGGGGGACACGUGUGUGUCCAGAGUCAGGGUCCAGAUGAGAUCUCCUUACCUCUGUGGGCUGUGCCUGCAAUCGUGGGCAGCUGUGCCACAGCCCUAGCACUGCUCGUCCUCAGCUUGAUUCUAUGCAACCAGUGCAGGGGGAAGAUGCCCAAAAACCCCAAAGAGGAGAAGAAGCCAAAGGAGAAAAAGAAAAAGGGCAGUGAGAAUGUGGCUUUUGAUGACCCAGACAACAUCCCUCCCUAUGGGGAUGACCUAGCUGUUAGGAAGCAACCCGAGGGGAAUCCCAAGCCGGACAUCAUAGAGCGAGAGAACCCUUACCUAAUCUUCGAUGAGACUGACAUCCCCCACAACUCAGAGACCAUCCCCAGUGCCCCACUGGCUUCCCCUGAGCAGGAAAUUGAACACUACGACAUCGACAAUGCCAGCAGUAUCGCGCCCUCUGAUGCAGACAUCAUCCAGCACUACAAACAGUUCCGAAGCCACACGCCUAAGUUUUCUAUCCAGAGGCACAGUCCUCUGGGCUUCGCCAGGCAGUCCCCUAUGCCUUUGGGAGCAAGCAGUUUGACCUACCAGCCUUCUUCAUAUGGUCAGGCAUUAAGAACCAGCUCCCUCAGCCACUCGGCCUGCCCCACUCCCAACCCCUUGUCCAGACACAGCCCGGCUCCUUUCUCCAAACCAUCUGCUUUCUACAGGAACAGCCCAGCCCGGGAACUGCAUCUUCCUCUGCGGGAUGGGGGGACGCUGGAAAUGCAUGGGGACCCCUGUCAGCCUGGCAUGUUCAACUAUGCCACCAGGCUAGGUAGAAGAAGUAAGAGCCCCCAGGCCAUGGCAUCACAUGGCUCGAGACCUGGGAGUCGCCUCAAGCAGCCCAUAGCACAGAUCCCCCUAGAAUCUUCUCCUCCUGUGGGACUGUCCAUUGAGGAGGUAGAGAGGCUCAAUACCCCUCGCCCCAGAAACCCCAGCAUCUGCAGUGCAGACCAUGGGAGAUCCUCUUCUGAAGAAGACUGUAGAAGGCCUCUGUCCAGAACCAGGAACCCAGCAGAUGGCAUCCCUGCCCCAGAAUCUUCUUCUGACAGUGACUCCCAUGAUUCCUUCACAUGCUCAGAAAUGGAGUACGACAGGGAGAAGCCGGUGGUCUACACUUCCAGAAUGCCCAAGUUAUCUCAAGUUAAUGAAUCCGAUGCAGAUGACGAAGAUAAUUAUGGAGCCAGACUGAAACCCAGAAGGUACCAUGGACGCAGAGCUGAGGGGGGACCGGUGGGUACCCCUGCAGCAGCAUCUGGGGCUGCAGACAGCACCCUGAAACUGGGACAGCAGGCAGGCAACUUCAACUGGGACAAUCUUUUGAACUGGGGCCCGGGCUUUGGCCACUAUGUGGAUGUCUUUAAAGAUUUGGCCUCUCUCCCAGAAAAAGCAGCUGGUAAUGAAGAAGGUAAAAGCGGGGCAGCUAAACCAGCCGCCAAAGACGGGGAAGCAGAACAGUACGUGUGAGGUGUAUGUGUGGGCAAGAAACAUUCAAAAAGAUGGUGUGGCUUCCCACCAGCGGGGUCACCUUUGUAAAACAGGCCAGUAUAGACCGGUGGCCAGGGAGGGACACGUUUAAAAUUAACCACAAAGCUGCUCACAUAGACUCCAAGUGACUCUUUAAUUUAAAUGUGCUCGGUGGAACAGAAUGAGCCUCCUGCAUGCAUCUUGUUUUGUGAUGAGUUUUGGGGCAUGCAACAUUGGGGAGUUUUGCUUUGUGUUUGGUUUGUGGUUUUUUGCAGUUUAUACCAUUGCAGUUGUAGACAUGAGCUUGUCUUUUCACAGUGGGGUUGCUUGUUUCCGUUGUGUUUUACCUUGCAAGAUCAUUUGAGUUUAACCAACCUGCGUAAAGUGCAGGAAGGAGCGCUUCCCAUCUUGGAGGGAUGAAAGACUGCACAUUAACCCUCUUCAGACGUAUAGAUUCAUACGUGAUGUUGCUCAGACACGAUAAGGGCUUGUUUUACAUGACGGUGGGUACUAGGCUUAAGUCAUUUUGUUCCGCACUUUAAAGCUUUCUUAAAAACUGUGUAGACACACCUGUGUCUCUGUGCGAACUGUCAUGGCCUCCUGACUUACCUCAGGCUUCCAGGAAGAACAAGAUGACCACAUACUGUCCCCAGAACACUGCCACCUUUCUCUUCUGGAAUAACGUUCUCAGCGCACUUCUAAGAGACAAUUUUUAAAGUUAUUUAUUGAAAAAAAAAGUUCUAUGCUUUUAACAUUGUAACAAAUUGACCUAUGCAGGCCCUAAUUGGUUUUAUUUUCUAGCCAUUCAACAUUUACCCCAAGUACCCAGUUUUCAUAAUUUAUAUAAAAUCAGAUUGCAGCGUUUCUUACUUUCUGUUGUUUUGUAGAUCAUUUUUUAAUACUGUGUAAAACUUUUUUUUUUUUACACCUGAGCUGUGGUUUUGAUACUGAUAUUUUCCUAUGCCGGAAACUUUUCUUGCUUUCAGAGAAGGUAAGAAAAUGUGUUUUUUACAUUUGUUACUUAUGUAACAUUCAUAUUUUCACAGUUUGAUAUCUGUAACAUACUGUAUGCUUUCUACCUGUAAAUGCCAACAAUAGAAUUAAAAUAUUUAUUUAAAAUACCGUGUCCUAGGAUGAGCAUCCGUUUCUAUCUUUCUCUGUUCUACUGCAG